rnacentral:tRNA from 1 species
GAGGGUAUAGCUCAAGUGGUAGAGCGCAUGCUUAGCAUGCAUGAGGUCCUGGGUUCAAUCCCCAGGACCUCCU